UAGCCAUGGGCAGGUUGAAGGUUGAGUAACAUCAACUGGAGGACCGAACCGACUAAUGUUGAAAAAUUAGCGGAUGACUUGUGGCUAGGGGUGAAAGGCCAAUCAAACCUGGAGAUAGCUGGUUCUCCCCGAAAGCUAUUUAGGUAGCGCCUCGGACGAAUACUACUGGGGGUAGAGCACUGUUAAGGCUAGGGGGUCAUCCCGACUUACCAACCCUUUGCAAACUCCGAAUACCAGUAAGUACUAUCCGGGAGACACACGGCGGGUGCUAACGUCCGUCGUGGAGAGGGAAACAACCCAGACCGCCAGCUAAGGUCCCAAAUUACUACUAAGUGGGAAACGAUGUGGGAAGGCUCAGACAGCCAGGAUGUUGGCUUAGAAGCAGCCAUCAUUUAAAGAAAGCGUAAUAGCUCACUGGUCGAGUCGGCCUGCGCGGAAGAUGUAACGGGGCUAAGUAGUAAACCGAAGCUGCGGCAAUGUGCUUUUGCACAUUGGGUAGGGGAGCGUUCUGUAAGCGGUUGAAGGUGUGUGGUAACGCAUGCUGGACGUAUCAGAAGUGCGAAUGCUGACAUGAGUAACGAUAAAGGGGGUGAAAAACCUCCUCGCCGGAAGACCAAGGGUUCCUGUCCAACGUUAAUCGGGGCAGGGUAAGUCGACCCCUAAGGCGAGGCCGAAAGGCGUAGUCGAUGGGAAACGGGUUAAUAUUCCCGUACUUCUUACAAUUGCGAUGGGGGGACGGAGAAGGCUAGGUGGGCCUGGCGACGGUUGUCCAGGUUCAAGUGCGUAGGCUUAAGAGUUAGGUAAAUCCGGCUCUUUUUAAGGCUGAGACACGACGUCGAGCACCUACGGGUGUGAAGUCAUUGAUGCCAUGCUUCCAGGAAAAGCCUCUAAGCUUCAGAUUGUAAGGAAUCGUACCCCAAACCGACACAGGUGGUCGGGUAGAGAAUACCAAGGCGCUUGAGAGAACUCGGGUGAAGGAACUAGGCAAAAUGGUACCGUAACUUCGGGAGAAGGUACGCUCUCGACGGUGAAGUCCCUCGCGGAUGGAGCUAUUGAGAGUCGCAGAUACCAGGUGGCUGCAACUGUUUAUUAAAAACACAGCACUGUGCAAAAUCGUAAGAUGACGUAUACGGUGUGACGCCUGCCCGGUGCCGGAAGGUUAAUUGAUGGGGUUAGACUUCGGUCGAAGCUCUUGAUCGAAGCCCCGGUAAACGGCGGCCGUAACUAUAACGGUCCUAAGGUAGCGAAAUUCCUUGUCGGGUAAGUUCCGACCUGCACGAAUGGCGUAAUGAUGGCCACGCUGUCUCCACCCGAGACUCAGUGAAAUUGAAAUCGCUGUGAAGAUGCAGUGUACCCGCGGCUAGACGGAAAGACCCCGUGAACCUUUACUACAGCUUGGCACUGAACAUUGACCCUACAUGUGUAGGAUAGGUGGGAGGCUUUGAAGCACGUACGCCAGUAUGUGUGGAGCCGUCCUUGAAAUACCACCCUUGUAGUGUUGAUGUUCUAACGUUGACCCCUUAUCGGGGUUGCGGACAGUGCCUGGUGGGUAGUUUGACUGGGGCGGUCUCCUCCCAAAGAGUAACGGAGGAGCACGAAGGUGGGCUAAUCACGGUUGGACAUCGUGAGGUUAGUGCAAUGGCAUAAGCCCGCUUGACUGCGAGAAUGACAAUUCGAGCAGGUGCGAAAGCAGGUCAUAGUGAUCCGGUGGUUCUGAAUGGAAGGGCCAUCGCUCAACGGAUAAAAGGUACUCCGGGGAUAACAGGCUGAUACCGCCCAAGAGUUCAUAUCGACGGCGGUGUUUGGCACCUCGAUGUCGGCUCAUCACAUCCUGGGGCUGAAGUCGGUCCCAAGGGUAUGGCUGUUCGCCAUUUAAAGUGGUACGCGAGCUGGGUUUAGAACGUCGUGAGACAGUUCGGUCCCUAUCUGCCGUGGGCGUUGGAAGAUUGAAGGGGGCUGCUCCUAGUACGAGAGGACCGGAGUGGACGAACCUCUGGUGUUCGGGUUGUGUCGCCAGACGCAUUGCCCGGUAGCUAAGUUCGGAAUCGAUAACCGCUGAAAGCAUCUAAGCGGGAAGCGAGCCCUGAGAUGAGUCUUCCCUGAUACUUUAAGUAUCCUAAAGGGUUGUCGGAGACUACGACGUUGAUAGGUCAGGUGUGUAAGUGCUGUGAGGCAUUGAGCUAACUGAUACUAAUUGCCCGUGAGGCUUAACCAUACAACACCCA
rnacentral:rRNA from 1 species